CCAGCCGAGCUGCGGCCGCGUUGGUGGCCGAAGACGCCGCCGCGUGGUGGUCGAUUGUGAAACCUCGUUCGUGCGACUCGGAUUGGCCGGGC
rnacentral:tRNA from 1 species